AAAAUUCUUUGGGUGUGGCACUAAAACUAAUUUUUAUGAUAUUCAAAGGCUUUGUUAUUCGAUUCGAUACGGUGCGCGAAUGUUUAGUUAACACCCACCUGCUCCAAUGAACACCUUUUUCUCGCAGAAGGCCGGAAAACACUGGAAAGGGCGGGGAAUUCAACCACUCUUCUUAGGUGGCCGCAGACCCGCAACAUGGGUUCCUGGCCGGAGCCCUAUCCCAGGCUAACAAGAUAUGUGAACAGGCAGUUAUGCACUUUGAAGAUAUGUCAAGCAUGAAGAAGUAAUUGUCAGCUCUGAUAUCCCAUGCCUUGCCACAAAGAAUUUCGAAAUCCACAAGAACUUCUGAACCUAUGACGAUGAGUAGCAAAUGAUCCAUAUAAGUGCAGGCAUACAUUCAAAAUCGAAACUUCUACCGUAAACGACUAAAACGAAAGUCUGAAAUCAAAACAGCUCAAAGCUGCAAGAUGCAGGAAUUUGAAAACAUUACACAUAAUUAGAAAUUACUGUUGUUAAAAUGGUUGACUUUUCUUUACAGAGUAAACUAACUAUACUGUAAAUAUCUCUGCUUGUCAAACGCUUUCCUAACAGAAGCUGUGCUUAAGAUAAAAUUAUAUAAACAGAGAAAAAUUUCUAGUCCUCCGCAUUCAAGUAUUUAUCUCUGUUGUUUGAACACGGGAAAGUUUAAAAAUGAAUCGACAAUAAAAAUAUAUACUUAGCAAUUCCACUAAAUAAUGCGCUUGACAAAAUUCAGUACGGAAAAUUACAUCUGAAUUAUGCUUAAUUAUUAUACAGUGGAAAGAAGCUUGGCUUGU